GAUGGUUUCCUGCCAGUUCUGAGAGGGAUGAAACAUUCUGAUAUAUCGGUUAAGUCCAUCUGAUCCAGUGUGUUAUUCAAAGCCAUUGUUUCCUUCUUGAUUUUUUGCUUAGAUCAUCUGUCCAUUG